AAGGCGACGACGGGUAGCCGGCCUGAGAGGGCGACCGGCCACACUGGGACUGAGACACGGCCCAGACUCCUACGGGAGGCAGCAGUGGGGAAUAUUGCACAAUGGGCGCAAGCCUGAUGCAGCGACGCCGCGUGAGGGAUGACGGCCUUCAGGUUGUAAACCUCUUUCACCAGGGACGAAGAGAAAUUGACGGUACCUGGAGAAGAAGCACCGGCCAACUACGUGCCAGCAGCCGCGGUAAUACGUAGGGUGCGAGCGUUGUCCGGAAUUACUGGGCGUAAAGAGCUCGUAGGCGGUUUGUCGCGUCGUUCGUGAAAUCUUGAUGCUUAACAUCAAGCGUGCGGGCGAUACGGGCAGACUUGAGUACUACAGGGGAGACUGGAAUUCCUGGUGUAGCGGUGAAAUGCGCAGAUAUCAGGAGGAACACCGGUGGCGAAGGCGGGUCUCUGGGUAGUAACUGACGCUGAGGAGCGAAAGCGUGGGUAGCGAACAGGAUUAGAUACCCUGGUAGUCCACGCCGUAAACGGUGGGUACUAGGUGUGGGUCCCUUUUCACGGGAUCCGUGCCGUAGCUAACGCAUUAA
rnacentral:rRNA from 1 species